rnacentral:tRNA from 1 species
UGGAUCAUGGCGUACUUUGCUUAACGUACCAUCUUGGGGUGAUGCAGACCCCGCGUUCAAAUCCCGCUGCUCCAA